AGAAAACUCAACCCGAAUACAUGAUGCCAAGUUCAAUACAGCAUAGACACACCCGAAUCAAUCCAGGCGUCAACGCAAUUAAAAAAUAAAUGACGUCACAUACGAUGGUGAAAAGGCAAACGUUAUGCCACAUUUGAAUUUAUGAAAUUUAGAAACAGCAUGACGUCACACAUGAAAAACUAUAAUUCAAAAGUGAGAUAGAAUUAGGAUUGCUUUGAGAUUCUAUUAGAACUAAAUACUGAUAAUUUAUUAAAACAAAAU
rnacentral:lncRNA from 1 species